GUAAAAGAAAAAUCACGGAGAAGGCAACAUAUGGCAGGUGUGAAAUCAACAUGAGGGUACUUCCUUUUUUGGGAGUGUUUUUUUUUCUUUUUUUUUU
rnacentral:ribozyme from 12 species